UUAUUGUGAAGUCAUAUUUAGUGUUCUUGGGCUGUGCAGCAUUGAUAGGGCAGAGGGAAGGAGGUGCAUGUAGGCCACGUGUCACACGUUCAGCACAGAGCGUUUGGUGAAGCAUGCAGGCUGUGCUGUGUGAUGCUGUCAGCAGGACCUGGGGACAACGCUGGGCUGCCCUACCAGGCUGUGCUGGGUCUCAGUGCAGUGAUCCACCACGUGCUCUCAUUUCCCUAUGCCAGACCCCUUCUGACAUACUUUUCAAAGGAGCUGCAGACAGCCAGAUGGGAGGCGGCCAGGGCUGCGCCUGGAUAUCAGGAGGUUUCUUCAUUGUGUGCAUCCGGUGUGUCUGGAAAGAUGAAGGACCUUCAUUUUCUGCUCAUUCCAAAUAGUCAAUUCAAACUGUCAUCACCACCUGCACCACUUCAUCUUAUACUAGUUAAAGUUUGUGUUGUUCACACUCCUGGAGAAUCUGUUGCUGGGGAAUCUGAAAACACAUGGCAGGAGGUGCCUCCUAAUGAUGAAAGGACUUGAUGUAAAAUCUUUGAUUUUGAUUUUUUUGGGGACAACUUCAUUGCUUAGGACUAAUUCAGGACUAUGACUCUUUGUGCCAGCUCAAGACAAAAAAUGUAAGUCAAUAUGUUGGAAUUUCCUGCAGGUUGGAAAUUCUGUUUCUUUUCUCUCUCAUCUCUUCCUGGCAUCACCUCACCAACCUGACUAUCACAGCAUCCCAGCAACGGGACAAACAGAAAACAUGUUUGGCUGAGCAGGAAAAAGUCUCUAGGGCUGGUGUCUGGCAUAAGGAGACACCUUCAUGUGAGUGCUUGCGUCACAUUUCAGAGGAUGGAGAAGCUGUAGGCUUGCAGGAGUCAUGAUUUCAGGUGAAUUCCAGAGUAGAGUAUGCAGAAUUGACCCAGAAGUCCUGCUCUGUCAGAGAGAGGGGCCAUAAAACAGUACAGCAGCUAGAUGUCUGCACAGGACUUCUGCUGUAUCAAAAAAAAAGAGACUCAGCUGCAUUUCAAUUUUGAUGCUAAUCCAAAGGAGUGUCCAGGUUUCUUGGCUCCAGUACGUGGUUGGAGGGCAGAACAGUCUGUGCCUGUAUUACAGAUGAGGAACUGUAACAUGAAGGACUCCUCUACCCUGAAUAUGCA
rnacentral:lncRNA from 1 species